CCUCUUGAUGAUGAAGAGUUGGUGAUGUAUAUUUGCAAUGGUCUAGAUCUAGAAUUCAAUCAUUUAGUUUCUGCUCUUGUAACUAGGAUUGAACCUGUUACCCCUGCUGAACUGUACUCACAAUUACUAAGUUUUGAGA